GUGGGGAAUAUUGGGCAAUGGGCGCAAGCCUGACCCAGCAACGCCGCGUGAAGGAAGAAGGCUUUCGGGUUGUAAACUUCUUUUGUCAGGGACGAAGCAAGUGACGGUACCUGACGAAUAAGCCACGGCUAACUACGUGCCAGCAGCCGCGGUAAUACGUAGGUGGCAAGCGUUAUCCGGAUUUACUGGGUGUAAAGGGCGUGUAGGCGGGAAAGCAAGUCAGAUGUGAAAACUGUGGGCUCAACCCAUAGCUUGCAUUUGAAACUGUUUUUCUUGAGUACUGGAGAGGCAGAUGGAAUUCCUAGUGUAGCGGUGAAAUGCGUAGAUAUUAGGAGGAACACCAGUGGCGAAGGCGGCCUGCUGGACAUUAACUGACGCUGAGGCGCGAAAGCGUGGGGAGCAAACAGGAUUAGAAACCCUAGUAGUCC
rnacentral:rRNA from 1 species